rnacentral:rRNA from 1 species
GACGGAGGAUGCAAGUGUUAUCCGGAAUCACUGGGCGUAAAGCGUCUGUAGGUGGUCAAAUAAGUCAACUGUUAAAUCUUGAGGCUCAACCUCAAAAUCGCAGUCGAAACUAUUAGACUAGAGUAUAGUAGGGGUAAAGGGAAUUUCCAGUGGAGCGGUGAAAUGCGUAGAGAUUGGAAAGAACACCGAUGGCGAAGGCACUUUACUGGGCUAUUACUAACACUCAGAGACGAAAGCUAAGGUAGCAAAUGGG